AACGUAGGACACGAGCGUUAUUCGGAAUUACUGGGCGUAAAGGGCUCGUAGGCGGCCAACUAAGUCAUACGUGAAAUCCCUCAGCUUAACUGGGAACUGCGUGUGAUACUGGAUGGCUUGGAUUGGGAGAGGGAUGCGGAAUUCCAGGUGUAGCGGUGAAAAUGCGUAGAUAUCUGGAGGAACACCGGUGGCGAAGGCGGCAUCCUGGACCAAUAUUGACGCUG
rnacentral:rRNA from 1 species